CCGCCACCGAAACAGCGAGGGUGUAUCGAUGUUAGGGUGGGUCUCAUCUUCAUCAUCGGAUAUCUAAAAUCAAAUUGGCGAAUUCAGGUUAACGUAGGAUUAUAAACAACAGUGUCAACCAAAUUCAAAUAGUUUACAAAAAACGUUGCCCCACAUUAGGAUUUUCUCCUGUGUCGUUGGUGCGUUUACAAACAUACAAGUUCACAUGCACAUGACACCCAGACCCGAAACAACAAUUUGUGGAUCACACAAAGAACUCAUUGCCCAGCCACCGCACCAACCGUGCAGUCGAACGUUAACUAACUGUGGUGUGGUAAGGAUCGUGGUCAUAACUGUGGUGGUGGUUGUCAGCGCUUCGGUGGUAGCACUCGUGAUGUUCAGCGGCGCGUCCUCUUCAUCAUCUUGGCUCUGUGAGUCGUCAGGAAUACUGAUUUGGAACUGCAGCAACACUACGAGGUCUGUGUUUGUAAAUGCACACACGACACAGGAGCAAAUACGAGUACCUACUUAUGUGGCAAUAAAAAAAAACCGGUGUGAAUAGUAUUGACUUUAAAUAAAUAAGAAGGUACCUAACAACUGACAUGGGCGACAGAGUAGUCUACUUUGUCUACGAGUGCAAGCUACAAGGCUGUAAAGAUUGUUAGCCUAUGCCCUUCGUGUACUUGAACCUCGUCAAUGUGAGACUUGUUUGUAUAAGGAGUUAUCGACAUGGCACCGUUGACUUCUUCAUUGAAAUGCUAUACAAUAGAAGCUUAAUUUUUGUAAAAUCUAUUUUGGUAUUGUUUCAAUGUAAUUGCGUGACUUGGUAAAAUAUGUAGGUACUUAUACGGGUGUGAAUGGAAUGCUCCCAAAGGUGAUGGUAAAAAUUUAAAUUUAAAAAUAUUAUUUACAAAAAUUAAUACAAUGUUUAUGUUAUAUAAUCAUAGUUGUAAUCAAUUGUUUAAGACUGAGGUUGUAUGAAUAACACGAAAACUAAA